rnacentral:rRNA from 1 species
GAUGAACGCUAGCGGGAGGCCUAACACAUGCAAGCCGAGCGGUAGAGUUUCUUCGGAAACUUGAGAGCGGCGCACGGGUGCGUAACACGUGUGCAACCUACCUUUAUCUGGGGGAUAGCCUUUCGAAAGGAAGAUUAAUACCCCAUAAUAUAAUGAUUGGCAUCAAUUAUUAUUGAAAACUCCGGUGGAUAGAGAUGGGCACGCGCAAGAUUAGAUAGUUGGUGAGGUAACGGCUCACCAAGUCAAUGAUCUUUAGGGGUCCUGAGAGGGAGAUCCCCCACACUGGUACUGAGACACGGACCAGACUCCUACGGGAGGCAGCAGUGAGGAAUAUUGGACAAUGGGUGAGAGCCUGAUCCAGCCAUCCCGCGUGAAGGAUGACGGUACUAUGGAUUGUAAACUUCUUUUGUACAGGGAUAAACCUACCCUCGUGAGGGUAGCUGAAGGUACUGUACGAAUAAGCACCGGCUAACUCCGUG